rnacentral:lncRNA from 1 species
AAAGUACUGAGCCAUGACAAGACACCGUGGACACGUAACAUAUUUAGAUACCAAGAACAAUGUGACAAUACCAUUAUCUGAACUAGAAAUAUAGUGAUGUGUUUGAUGAGUCAGAGUAACCUACUGGGAAAUCCUAAAACAACCUAGUUGAAAGAGCCGUGGUCUUCUAAUAACCUAAAAGAGGCCCCUGAAGAGAGAAAAUUAUAUUUUGAAGUUGGAAGAAGUGGCAAAAUGUGAAAAGCAAGAAGCAAGUAUUACCAGAGACACCUAUGAAAAAGAAAUCUUUCUGAAGAACAUUUUUAAAGUGCCAUAAUCUGUUCGGUGAAAAUGUUAUUUUACAUGGAAACCUAUUUUGUUCCAUAAAACUAAAUAAACCAUAACCCAGAAGUGCAAUGAGACACACACAGCAUGACCACAUUAUUUCUGAAAGCUGAAGAGUUGCCAGUCUGUUGAUCUCAAACUUCAUGAACCACACAGUUCAGUUCAAAUUGUUUCCCUGAAAUUGCUUUGAGCCUCUGCCAAACAGCCACUGAAGGACUCCGAAAAAUACAAGAACUGAAAGGGGCACAUGGCAGAUACAAUCAUAAACUUUCAUUUCGGAGAGCAGUAAAAAAGGAGAAGAAGAACACACUGGUACUCCAACAAGUCAUAGUUUCUGCCAGAUGUUGCAAAAUUUCCCAUAGUCCUUAUGGUGCCUGACUGUCGUUAUCAACUUCUGACUCAUUCUAACACACUGCUUUACCUUGGCUGUAAGCUGGGAACCCUGCUAUCAGAAAUUCAUAUCAAAUGUCCACAGAAACCCAAUCAGCAACACUACUUUCAAAGUGUCUUUUGACAAGUAAUAUGUGCAUUUUACAAAUCCAAAGGCAAUAUUUGAAGUAGCUCUUCAAAACAGCUGCAUUACUCAAAGCUAUCUCUGUAUCAUCGCCUUGUUUCCUGGAAGAAAAUGUGGAAAUGUGUACUGAAAAUGUGUAAAUGAUUAAAGCAUCAGUAUAAAGAAAAAACAUUCUGAAGAUGAAUAAAAAUUAUUUUGAGGGCUUGUUGAAAAACCAAACACCAGAUGUCCACGGCUGACUUGCCAAAUGAAAAUCCUUGAAAGAAAGGUCCAGAAAUUGGCAUUUCAAAUGAAUAUACCCCAGCUGAUUGACACAGGUGUUCCUUUGAGCAAUCCUGGAUAGCACUGUUGUAGACCCUAGGUAAGCAAUUGUGUGAUCUGCUUUUUCAACUUUGUGGUAGAUUGUAUUUUCCAAAGAUGACAGCACCAGUACAUACCAUCCUAUAUGCUCUUCCUAUAAGGUGACAUUGACAUGUCUCCACCAAAUGAUGGGAUUUACGUUACCUCUUCUUGGACCCGGGUGAACUUUUGACUACAGUAGAAGUGACACUAUGUGACUUCUAAGGCCAAUUCAUAAAAUGCAAUACAGCUUCCUCCUGGCUCCCUUGGGAUGCUGGCCCUAG